CCAAGGAGUCUAACAUGUUCGCAAGUCAUUGGGUUGUAAAACCCAAAGGCAUAAUGAAAGUGAAGAUCAGUUCUGCUGGUCGAGGUGGGAUCUCUCUUCAAGGGAGCGCACCACCGUCCCAUCGCAUUUGCUCGUCAAAGCGGUGGAGAAAGAGCGUACAUGUUGGGACCCGAAAGAUGGUGAACUAUGCCUGAGCAGGAUGAAGCCAGAGGAAACUCUGGUGGAGGUCCGUAGCGGUUCUGACGUGCAAAUCGAUCGUCAGACUUGGGUAUAGGGGCGAAAGACUAAUCGAACCAUCUAGUAGCUGGUUCCCUCCGAAGUUUCCCUCAGGAUAGCUGGCACUUUUACGCAGUUUUACCCGGUAAAGCGAAUGAUUAGAGGCCUUGGGGACGAAACGACCUCAACCUAUUCUCAAACUUUAAAUGGGUAAGAAGUCUCGCUUGCCUGACCGAAGCUCAGACAUUGAAUGCGAGUGCCAAGUGGGCCAUUUUU
rnacentral:rRNA from 1 species